CCUUGUACACACCGCCCGUCACACCACGAAAGUUAACUGCACCAGAAGUCGCCGUGCUAACCGUAAGGAGGCAAGCGCCCAAGGUUUGGUUGAUGAUUGGGGUG
rnacentral:rRNA from 1 species